GGGAAACCGGGUCUAAUACCAAAUAUGAACUCCUGCCGCAUGGUGGGGGUUGGAAAGUUUUUCGGUGCAGGAUGAGCCCGCGGCCUAUCAGCUUGUUGGUGGGGUAAUGGCCUACCAAGGCGACGACGGGUAGCCGGCCUGAGAGGGUGAUCGGCCACACUGGGACUGAGACACGGCCCAGACUCCUACGGGAGGCAGCAGUGGGGAAUAUUGCACAAUGGGCGAAAGCCUGAUGCAGCGACGCCGCGUGGGGGAUGACGGUCUUCGGAUUGUAAACCCCUUUCAGUAGGGACGAAGCGCAAGUGACGGUACCUGCAGAAGAAGCACCGGCUAACUACGUGCCAGCAGCCGCGGUAAUACGUAGGGUGCGAGCGUUGUCCGGAAUUACUGGGCGUAAAGAGCUCGUAGGCGGUUUGUCACGUCGUCUGUGAAAUCCCUCGGCUUAACCGGGGGCGUGCAGGCGAUACGGGCAGACUUGAGUACUACAGGGGAGACUGGAAUUCCUGGUGUAGCGGUGAAAUGCGCAGAUAUCAGGAGGAACACCGGUGGCGAAGGCGGGUCUCUGGGUAGUAACUGACGCUGAGGAGCGAAAGCAUGGGUAGCGAACAGGAUUAGAUACCCUGGUAGUCCAUGCCGUAAACGGUGGGCGCUAGGUGUGGGCUCCUUCCACGGACUCCGUGCCGUAGCUAACGCAUUAAGCGCCCCGCCUGGGG
rnacentral:rRNA from 1 species